CCUACGGGAGGCAGCAGUGAGGAAUAUUGGUCAAUGGACGAGAGUCUGAACCAGCCAUGUAGCGUGAAGGAUGACUGCCCUAUGGGUUGUAAACUGCUUUUAUAUGGGGAUAAAAUGGUCCACGUGUGUCAGUCUGUAUGUACCAUAUGAAUAAGGAUCGGCUAACUCCGUGCCAGCAGCCGCGGUAAUACGGAGGAUCCGAGCGUUAUCCGGAUUUAUUGGGUUUAAAGGGAGCGUGGGUGGGUUGUUAAGUCAGUUGUGAAAGCUCGAGGCUCAACGGUUAAAUUGCAUUUGAAACUGGCAGGCUUGAGUACAGUUGCGGUGGGCGGAAUUUGUGGUGUAGCGGUGAAAUGCUUAGAUAUCACGAAGAACUCCGAUUGCGAAGGCAGCUCACUGGACUGCAACUGACACUGAGGCUCGAAAGUGUGGGUAUCAAACAGGAUUAGAUACCCUGGUAGUC
rnacentral:rRNA from 1 species